ACCCUUAAAGACGAAGAGUAAAAUUUUUUUCUUCAAUGCAUCAACCGUAACCUACGAUGCAACUUAAACGUCAUUCUUAUGAAAUUAAAGAAAUUGCGAGUAAUUUAUGACUACAGACGAUAUUGGAGAUUUUAAUUACGUUAGUAGCACCCUCAAAGCAAACACAUUGAUCCAUCGCACGAAGAAAGAAACAUUCCACAGAAGAUAAUCUAGGAAAGUAUAACCAGUUAAGUUUUGCCUAGGGAAAAUUGAACAAAAUGAUUCAUUGCUGCAUCAAACUGUUCAUCUUUGUUAUUGCGAUCUGGUACGUGGUAGCUCGGCCUGAUUUUGACUUAGAAGCAGCUGAAGCUGAGAUAAGGACCGAAUAUGCAGAAAAAGUAGACGACAAUGCAGAGAAAAUGGACCAAACGAAAUCAAAACUCGCUUUUCGCCCCUUAAUUGUCCAAAACAAGUCAAAACUCAUCCCACCGACGUCAGUUGUUGCAUCAAUAGGACCGACAAUAAAAUGUCCAUUCAAUUGCAAUCAUUUGUGUAUCACCCAAAACGGAAAUUAUUACGUUUGUAGCCUGACACUUGACAAAUGCUGCGACAACGCAUGUUCAGACUACCAGAAAUGUAUCCUAUUGGGGCUUAAACCGUGGCUCUGUCAUGUCAUAACAUUUGAAAAAAUUUGCAAAUGUCGAGGAUUGAAACGCUAAAUUCGACAUCACUCCAUGUAAUAAUACACAAAAUUAAUUUGAAGAUUAACUUUGUAGUACACGUAUAAAACACGUGUAAAAUAUGUGUCAUUUAUGUCAAUAAACAUAUAUGGUUGCUUAAA